GAUGAACGCUGGCGGCGUGCUUAACACAUGCAAGUCGAACGAUGAAGCCCAGCUUGCUGGGUGGAUUAGUGGCGAACGGGUGAGUAACACGUGAGUAACCUGCCCUUGACUCUGGGAUAAGCCCGGUAAACUGGGUCUAAUACCGGAUAGGAGCGCCUUUCGCAUGCCGGGUGUUGGAAAGAUUUUUCGGUCAUGGAUGGACUCGCGGCCUAUCCGCUUGUUGGUGAGGUAAUGGCUCACCAAGGCGACGCCGGGUAGCCGGCCUGAGAGGGUGACCGGCCACACUGGGACUGAGACACGGCCCAGACUCCUACGGGAGGCAGCAGUGGGGAAUAUUGCACAAUGGGCGGAAGCCUGAUGCAGCGACGCCGCGUGAGGGAUGACGGCCUUCGGGUUGUAAACCUCUUUCAGUAGGGAAGAAGCGAAAGUGACGGUACCUGCAGAAGAAGCACCGGCUAACUACGUG
rnacentral:rRNA from 1 species